ACUAACGGUCUUAUUCAUAAUAAAAUGCUAAUAUAGGUUUAAAACCUACAUUAGCUAAAACGUUUGAUAGGCUUAAAACACUCUUAUAAACCUCUGAUAAAAAACGUUAUUCAUAAUCGUUUAUAAACCUUUGACAGCUAAAACAGAGUUUAAUAUUUUCUUUCCACAGACUAUACAAAAAGAAUGAACGAAAACAGCUUUUUUGGUGAUUUAACUUGAUGGACCAUGUAAAAUCAUAGACAAAUCGCAGAAAAAAAAAACAAAAAAUUGGCAGCUGUGACGUUUUACUUACUGACAUUGACAUUUGGCACGAAAAUUUAAUAAAGUUUUCGGUUUUUUCGAUCAACUCCCAAGUUUUAUCAAACUUUUAUAAAACUUGGGAUUGUAUGUUCUGGAUUCUGUACCUCUUACCCUGUACUCUGCAAUAAGCUCUUACGACGACCCGGCUAGUUACAUCGGAUACUAAUUAUGUCCAUGACGAAGGAGAACAGACCGCCUAAAAGGCAACGAUCAGAAAACUGGUUGGAGGAAGAUAAGGUAGUACUUAUUUUUAGCCUGAUAAAGUGCCUACUAAUUUUUGUAGCAUGGUUUUAUUUAUGUUUGACGCCUAGUGUUUGCUUUUCAGUAUUUGCUGAAAGAGUUGGUGAAAGAAAGAGUAAAUGCAAUCGAAAAUAAAAAUACAGACACUAACACGAAUAAACGGAAGGUUGCGGCUUGGGCUGAUUUACAAACAACGUUUAAUUCAAUGUGCGCUGGUAUGAACCGCUCCAUUACCCAGUUAAAAUCGCAAUGGAGCCUCAUAAAAAUCAGUGCGAAGAAAGACAAGACCAUUGCUAGGCAGGCUCAAAUUAAAACUGGCGGUGGUCCACCAUUAUCAGUGCCUGACGAUAGGGCUGAUGAUAUAGCAUCUUGGUUGCCCAAUGAAUUUGUAGUCGAUGUUAACAGAUUUGACUCGGACUCAAAUAAAAGUGAAUUAAUUAACAUUCAAGAGGAGGAAUCAACUCAAAAUACGCAAGAUCAGGAAUUGAUAAAUAAUGAAGAAAUCCAAUAUGAAUUGGUGGUACUUGAUGAAGAAAUAGAAGAUACACAUGCUUGUACUACUAGAGGCAUAUUGGAAGAUAAAGAAAAUAAAAAAGUAGAGGCAAAAGAAAAUAAAGCAAAACCUAAUUUUAAAGCACCAGCAAUCAAAAAAAAAAGGAAACUGUUAAACAAAGAAGGCUUAAUUGAUUUAAGCAAAGUUAGGAUUUCCGAAAUUGCAGAAACAGAAUCAAAAUGCCGGAUUGAACUGCAUGAAGUUCAAAUGGAAAACGAACGGAAGAAAGGGAGAAACUUGGAUCUUGAGCAUCAAUUAUUACAGGAAAAACUUAAAUAUUACACUCACAUUAAUAAAGAAUAAUAAGUCUUUUGAUGUUAAAGUUUUUCAAGUACUAACAGAUUCUAAAUAAUAAGUUAGUUCCUCCCUUACUUCUGUUUGUUUUUAAUUUGUAUUUUAUGCAGUUCCAAUCCGCAUUUUGAUUGUGUUUCUGCAAUAUAUUUAGACGGCUAUGAAUAUGUUUACUAGUCAUAACUUAAUAAGAGUUUGAGAUUACUAUUAACUAGCUGUUGCCCACGACUCCGCCUGCGUAGACUACUAUUUCUGUAACCUACAGGAUCUGUGCAUUUUUCCAGGAUAAAAAGAAGCCUAUAUGUUAUUCGAGACUAUAUAAUCUAUCUGUUUUAGCAAUUUAUUUGUUUAUAAGAAUUGAACUGUGAUUUUUAGUAAGUAAGUUUAAUAAUUGUACUUAAAUUAGUGAUAUAAAGUAAAUACACAUAUGCCUAGUCACAAACAUUCGCC